CUAAGCAGCAAUGCAUCGAGAAAGUUUCCAGCGAACGGUUUCCCCUCGAUAUACGGUAAGCUGUGAGGUUUCCAGUAUCGCGAUCCACUCGUUGACGCAAACCAAACGAAGAACCCGGCGAGACAAAUUAACGCCAGCGUGAAGACGUCACCGGGCGCACUCAAGCUGAUGUAAAUCAUCUCCGAAACUGGCCACCUGAUACCCGAAGAUGAGCACUUCCACAUUUGUUUCACCAAUCGGAACUGAAUAUUGAAAUGCGACAAUGCUAGUGUCUCGAAUUCGCUCUGUUCGUGUCACACGAUGAGUAAACUGGAGAAGCUUAUCAAGUUUCUGCUGGUGACCAUUUUUUGCUGUAGUGCUUCUUUUACAAAUUUUGUUCACGAAAAAAAUUGGAUUAAUUUCAAGGCAGUUUGGACUGAUUCUAUUGGAUUAAGCAUUUCAAAUGCUCAAAUCUUCAACAAUAGAAAGUAGAAUUAAUCUCAGAUUCGGAUGGUCAAUAUUUUUAGUGUCCAGCCACAAUUAACAACAUGUGGUUUGUCAUGUUGAAGUUAACUAGUGUUCGGUCGGAUUAAUAGGUGUAGCUUUGCGAGCAGGGCAACUAGAACGCCAAUAGCGGGAGUUCUGCAAUUGGAGUGUGUUUCAAGUAAUUAUCGCUCACAGUUUUUUUACUCGAAACUGGAAGGCUUCUCUCUGUCCAUACUUUUUGGAAGUGGUUCUCAGGGAUGGAACACUCAUCUAUAUUCUACUGCCACGUUGUAUUUGUAUUUUUGGUUGAAGGUACGCGUAAUAUCUUAGAGUGAACAAGGAAAUACUCGCCCAGCAUAUUUGCAAGACAUAGCCUCUUCAGAUUACCAAUAAAUCCGAACGAAGCAGAUGGCAGAUGGACAAGUUAAUCAUAGACAUUGAUUUCGAGGAGCGAUUCUAGGAGUAUAUCUUAGACCAGCGGUACUCAACCUUUUUUUCAUAGGGGAAACAAACACGUGUUAGUCAUUGUGUCGCGGGCCACAAAAAAGAAGAGCUACCGCUUUGUUAACAUAGAACUACAAAAUUAUUGUAGUUCGAGCACAAACAAUAAAGAAAUUUAAUAGUGAAACUCUUCGAUACAAAUAUUCGAUACCAAUGACAAGGGCCAAUAAAAGAAUGGUUCGCGAAAAAACGUCGAACAGCAACAGAAAAUUAAAACCGAAUCUAUUGUGCGGUGCAGGCGAAGGCAAAAGCAGAAGGCAAGGAGGCAGAAGGCAAAAAAAACAGUUUUCAACCGAAGAACACAACUCUCAACGCUGAAAAAUACAUUUCGUCAAUUUUAACCUUAACCCGAGACAAUAAUUAAAAUAACGAAAAUUCAAUGAUCGAUUGAAAAAAAUCACGAAUAGGUCAUUAAGCUAGCAGCUAGCGUAGCAUAAACCUCAUAGCAAUACAUUCCAAAUGGUAUUUCUCAAGGCCGAAUAUUCGAACGACCGAUUAAUGCUUUAUACAUACGGCCACGGGAACAGGGAAGGAAAAUGUGUUUUCUUUUAAUUUUCGUUAAUUAGGCUAUUAGGUCAUGGAAUCAUAAUGGAUGUAGUGUACCGAUUUUUUUUAAGAAUUUCCGAUUGGAUUGGGAUGCAAACCAUCAAAAUCCAUUCAGAGCUAAAAUAGUUAUUAACGUUAGAAUUAUUUCAUAAAAAACGUGACCUGUUUUUUGAUUUGGUGCCUUUAUUGAAAGACGUAGUCUUAUGUCAAAUUGUAGGUAAUGAUUUCAUAUUCAUGUUUUUACAUCUAUAUUUUUAUUUUUAUUCACUAACGUCAACAGAAUUAGCCCAAAUGUUCGGAAUCAAUAUAUUUGAAAGAUAUUUUAUCUACCAACACCACUUAAUUAAAUAAAUAUUUAAUCUACUAACACCGCUAGACAAUUAACCAAUGUGUAAUUGUGUAAUGUGUGAAACUCUAUUAUUUCUAUCUCAUGUUUCCUAGAUGAUUUCUUAAAGCCCUGGCAACCCUAUCUCAAUCAAUAAAAAUUUAGCGCAGGCAGCAUAAAACUAGGGCUCCCACAGGGCUCACGUAUUGUUUAUUGUUUGAAGUCAAUAUUGAUGCAAAUGUUUUUUUUUAAUUUUUUUUAUAUCUGUAUUAUAGUGAUUUUCAACUCAUUUGGCUGGUUCGUCACUUUUUACUUCCAUUUUUGGAAGAAUAUCGGGGAUGAGAAUUGAACUCGUGACCUUCAGCGUGAGAGGCAUGGAUGUUACCACUACGCCAGAUCGCCUCCUGAUGCAAAUAUGUUCAGCAUUUGCGAUGGCCUGUAGCCAAUUAUUCCGUUGGAUAGUUAUUAGAUAUGUUUGGAUAUCCAUCCGGAA